UACGUAGGUGGCAAGCGUUGUCCGGAUUUACUGGGCGUAAAGAGCGCGCAGGCGGUCGUUCAAGUCGCGUGUGAAAGCCCCCGGCUCAACUGGGGAGGGUCACGCGAUACUGCUCGACUCGAAGGCAGGAGAGGGUAGUGGAAUUCCCGGUGUAGUGGUGAAAUGCGUAGAUAUCGAGAGGAACACCUGCGGCGAAGGCGGGUUGCUGGGCUGACACUGACGCUGAUGCGCGAAAGCUAGGGGAGCGAACGGG
rnacentral:rRNA from 1 species